GACGAACGCUGGCGGCGUGCUUAACACAUGCAAGUCGAACGGAAAGGCCCUGCUUUUGUGGGGUGCUCGAGUGGCGAACGGGUGAGUAACACGUGAGUAACCUGCCCUUGACUUUGGGAUAACUUCAGGAAACUGGGGCUAAUACCGGAUAGGAGCUCCUGCUGCAUGGUGGGGGUUGGAAAGUUUCGGCGGUUGGGGAUGGACUCGCGGCUUAUCAGCUUGUUGGUGGGGUAGUGGCUUACCAAGGCUUUGACGGGUAGCCGGCCUGAGAGGGUGACCGGACAGUGUGAGACUGAGAGGCUGCCCAGCACGGUGGGGGGGGCGGGGGGGGAGAACAUUGGAGAGGGGGGUGGCGGCGGAGGGAGCAGCGCGGGGUGGGGGGUGGGGGCCUUGGGCGUAGACUCCGCUGUGGCGUGGGGGGGGGAGGGAGUGGCGGGAAGGGGUAAAGCAACCCCGGCAAGCGCCGCGCCAGCGGACGGGGUAUUAGGCGGAACAGCACACGUCUGAAC
rnacentral:rRNA from 1 species